rnacentral:rRNA from 1 species
UCAGCCGCCGCGGUAACACCGGCAGCCCAAGUGGUAGUCAUGUUUAGUGGGUCUAAAGCGUCCGUAGCCGGCUAUGUAAGUUCCUCGGGAAAUUUGAUCGCUUAACGAUCAAGCUACCGGGGGAUACUACCUGGCUUGGGACCGGGAGAGGUUAGAGGUACUUCAAGGGUAGGGGUGAAAUCCGUUAAUCCUUGGGGGACCACCGGUAGCGAAGGCGUCUGACCAGACCGGAUCCGACGGUGAGGGACGAAGGCUAGGGGAGCGAACCGGAUUAGAUACCCGGGUAGUCCUAGCUGUAAACGAUGCGGGCCAGGUGUUGCAUUACUGCGAGUGAUGCCAGUGCCGAAGGGAAGCCGUUAAGCCCGCCAUCUGGGGAGUACGGUCGCAAGGCUGAAACUUAAAGGAAUUGGCGGGGGAGCACA